UACUGGUUACUUUGUCGCGCGAUUAUCGUUAUCUCUUGUGGAAACGCACUUUUUCGUUUCAAACAUCUCAAGAGAGCCGUUACCGUGAUUAAACUCAACGGAACAACUGGUGCACAGUAACGUUUUAAUUUUAUUAAAUAAAGAGAAAGCUUCACGGAAGAUUCAUCUCCAAAUGUCUCAAACAAUACCCGGAAACUAAUUGUAUUUAAAUAUCUACUAUAAAUCCGAGCAAGGAUUGAGAUUACUUCCAAAAACGUAGCGAGGCCACAUUACUAACAAUUACUACGGAAGGUGGAGGAGCAAACACUUAAUCAAUGAUGCGGGUGGAUGAUACGAAAGCGACGAGAGAGAACGAGAGCAAGACCUCAUUUUCAUUUUUGCGUUCGAUUCUUCGCCGGACGAGGGUAUAAACACUGCACGUGCGCAGUGCGAUGGAGCCGAUCCUCGAUGUCGCACGGGUCGCAUCUUGCAAUACUCGUAACUCAGUAAACGAAAAGCGAGCAGGACGUUCCAUUUAAAUACACUGGAACGACUAAAAUUUAAAUUUAAAUAUAACGAACAAAGCUAACGUCAGACUACGCGCGAUUUGUAAUUCGCGAUUCGGGAUUCAUAAUUGAAAAUUCGUUAUUCAUCAGUGUAAACUUUCCGCACUAUUCGCGAUUCGCAGUACACCGUUCAUAACUCGAAUAGAUUGAUUCGUAACGAUUCGCGUCCUUUGAGUUUCGUCAAAAAAUCGCUCGGCUAGCGAAUCAGUGCGAAUGGCGAAUCGCACGCGACGAAUCGACGAAUUUUCCCUCCACCCUAUUCACAAAUACACGAAUUACGAAUCGCGCAUAGUCUGGCGCUAACUUAAGCGGGAACGUUGAACGAGAGAGCAUCAUAGUUUUGGAAACUGGUUACCUCGAACGAAAUUUACGAACGGCGCCGUUUCACGAUUAACAUUUUUUUAUUUUAUUGUUGCUCUCGGAAGCGUCGUUAAUUCUCGAGGUCGAUUUUGCAUUUAGCCGAGAAAUGCAAGAGUGAACAAACUCCCUUAACAAUUAAACUACCUUGACCGAUACUUGAUAAAUGUGCUCAUUGCAUGCAGGUAUAAAAUGAUGUAGAAUGAGCGGAAUGCUACGUAGCUUUGGCAACGAAAAAUAUAACCAUGAAUAAAAACAUAAAUAAGAUAUAUAUAUUAUCUCGCGCUUUCGGAUGAACAAUCUUAAAGCUUCUUCGUACAACGCGAUGUAGCACAAAAAGAAAUGUCAUCGUAAACGAUCUCUGAAAUAGAAUAAGUAGAAACAAAAAUUACGAUAAUUAUUAAUUACCAACUUCAUCUGCUUUCUUUUUCUGCCUUAAUUUUAACACGAUUUUACGUGAUUGAGACAAGGAUCAUUGAAGUUAUUCGUGCGAUAUGUGGAGGAAUAUAUAUAUAGUGAGGCAAUCUCUUGUAAUGACUCAUCGUUUUUAAUGUAAUCUGUAUAGUUUAGCAUAAUAUAAUCAAUUAAAUUAAUUACAUAUUAAAUAUCAUUUUUUAUGUAUUAUAUAACCAAGUAACAAUACAGACGAGACUAGCAAAUGUGACCUUCGUAGCACUACGCCUCUUUUUAUCCUGGGCGCGAGAUUAUAAUUAUUUGUCGUUUCCUUAUGCUGUUAACCGUAGAUACUCCGGUUACAUUUACGCUUACGCUCUAUUUCGAGUGUAUUUCUCUCUCUCUCACACACACACACACACACACACAACACUCUCUCUCUCUCUUUCUCUUUGAAGCCCGACAGCAUUCCAAUGAUCGAUCGAGAAAACAUAAGAGAGGAAGCCCGCUCCAAUCCGAGUAAUCAAUUAUACAUGCGAUAAAGUAGAACGGUUACUUAAGUAAAGAUUAGUUUAUAGAAUCAUACGUAACA
rnacentral:lncRNA from 1 species